AAGACCCCUCCUUACUCUAGUGGAAUAGAGAUGGUUAUUUGACUUUAAAUAAUGCUGUCUAUCUUGCAGGCGACAAGACUCAGGGAAGUGAAAAUGCAAGUGUUGAGCAGAAUUUCUGAGGAUGAUUAUUUUAGCUGGAAGCCAUGGGAGCAUCACGAGAGCAUUGCAAUGAGGCUGAGGGAACCUCUGCAGAAGGGCUUCUGCUCUAAAAUGGAUGGAUAACUCCAAGCACAAAAUGGCUUAAGAUAAGAGGGCCGUGAGUAAAACCUAAAUGAUGUGUCUUAGCAUUAAAGCAAAUGCUUAGUGGGAGCUGAGGCUUGUUAGCAAACUUUGAGCACACUUUUUUAUACACUGAGGUGUAUAUAUUGCUCUAAAAAUAUAUGUAUUAGUUCCUUUAAGAUGUCAGUAAUACAGCAGUCACUAGCAUGGAUGCAUGGGCCACCAUGACCAUAGGGGUUCACCAGCCUUGCAGUUGGUGUGGUGAACUCUAUAUAGGAAAAGCAGCUUUGUUUCCAGACAGCACGCAUGUAGCUAUAACUUUUUAAUCAAUUCAGCUGAAUUGCUGUGAACUCAUCUCUGGCAAAUCUUCAGCUGUUUCACACUCCUGAAGCCAUGCGCAGAGACGGGUACUGAACAGGUACUGACAUUCUAUCUUUCUGCACUUUAAAUACAGUUCUUUGUCCCUUAGUUGUUUGUAAAUUUCUGAUUUUUUUUCUCACAUGAAAUUUGGUCUCCUUCCAUAGACUAAAUAGUCUUUGAAGGACUGAGUGAAAGAAACUUGUCCACUUCUUGGAUCCUCAGCUGGGGAUCCAAUUUCUUCAUGAUACUCUGCUCCAUUUCUCCCCUCCCUCUUUGCCCAGGCAGAGGUGUGAAGUUGCAAUUUCAAGCCAUAGCCUGCUUCUUCACUAUCCUCAAAGCAAUCUGACCAUUGCCAGAGGGUUACCUCAGAAAGAAGAGAGUUUAGUGUCCAGCCCUGGCAUGUGUUAGAGCAUGGUGUGCUUGUCUUUCAAAAUAACCACAUACAGUUGUACUCAGAGCACGCUGAGGGCUGCCAAGGGAAGGACUCUUCCUAGCAAGGUCAGUGAGCAGGACUACAGCCUACCUGCUGUACUAAGUGCUCACUUGUGUCCCUGCCCAUAUUCCUUUUUUUUUUUUUUUUUUUUUUUGUUACUUCGUUCUGUUGUUGUAGGAAUUUAAAGGAGGUGCCUUGCAAACUUCUCUUCCACCUAAUUUUACUUGAAGAUAGAAAACAAAACCCAAAAACCAGCCAGCACCCAUCAAUUACAGGGAGCUUACAGCUAAAGUGCAUGACUUGCCAUGUAUUUCCGUGCUGCCGAAAGGCCGGUGGAAGAAGCAGCCUGCUCUACGUUGCAAAAGACGCUCGCACGACUCCCCCUGUGAUUCUCAUGGGCACAGACUCAGAAGAACGCAGGCAGAGUUAACCUCUGGGAUACUCACCUAACUCUAGAGCUGCUAUUAGUGCCAGCGCAACAAGAGCUUCGUUUUGCAUUAUUACAUGUUCACUGGUCGCCAUGGUUACUAAAUGCUUGAUGCCACCGCUCUGUACAAUGGUCCUAAUGACAUCCUAAAAGAAAUAGCAUAGAAAUAAUAAUAAUAAAAAGAUUCUGCAGUGCACACAAACUAUUAAAUAACAAAGUUGUCACCGAUGCUGUGUUAUCUCCAGAAAUCCAAAAAGGUUUUGAGACUUCCUGGAAUACUCUGGGAACUGCUAAUUUCUACUUGAGUUGGUGGACAAUUUUGGCUGUAUGCCCUGACAUGAAAAUUGUAAUGAUUUUAUAGGUGAACAUCACCCUCCAAAAGGCAGUACCAAGCAGAUAAGAGAUGACAGCAGUCAGGUUCAGUACCAGUGUAGUUUAACUGACAAGUACCUACUCCUUUUUUUAAA